GAUGAGAACACCCACAUUGUUUUCUUAGGGGUUCAACCACCCAGACGGCGGUGAACGACAGAUAUGAAAGGUUGGUAGCGCGGAGGGAAAAAUGUCACUCAUCGCACAACUACAAUGAAUCACUACAUCUUUAAUGGACAAAUUUAGAUUGGUGGAGGCGAAAUUCAGUGGUGGUUAAAGCUUUUGUUUUCUAGAGAGAUGGGAGAGAAAGCAUACGAAGAGAGGGCCUAUCUUACCAUACUGAAAUUGAAGAUG
rnacentral:lncRNA from 1 species